rnacentral:rRNA from 1 species
GGUUAAGCGACUAAGCGUACACGGUGGAUGCCCUGGCAGUCAGAGGCGAUGAAGGGCGUGCUAAUCUGCGAUAAGCGCCGGUAAGGUGAUAUGAACCGUUAUAACCGGCGAUACCCGAAUGGGGAAACCCAGUGUGAUUCGUCACACUAUCAUUAACUGAAUCCAUAGGUUAAUGAGGCGAACCGGGGGAACUGAAACAUCUAAGUACCCCGAGGAAAAGAAAUCAACCGAGAUUCCCCCAGUAGCGGCGAGCGAACGGGGAGGAGCCCAGAGCCUGAAUCAGCAUGUGUGUUAGUGGAAGCGUCUGGAAAGGCGCGCGAUACAGGGUGACAGCCCCGUACACAAAAGCGCAUGUGCUGUGAGCUCGAUGAGUAGGGCGGGACACGUGGUAUCCUGUCUGAAUAUGGGGGGACCAUCCUCCAAGGCUAAAUACUCCUGACUGACCGAUAGUGAACCAGUACCGUGAGGGAAAGGCGAAAAGAACCCCGGCGAGGGGAGUGAAAAAGAACCUGAAACCGUGUACGUACAAGCAGUGGGAGCCUCUUUUAUGGGGUGACUGCGUACCUUUUGUAUAAUGGGUCAGCGACUUAUAUUCUGUAGCAAGGUUAACCGAAUAGGGGAGCCGGAGGGAAACCGAGUCUUAAUUGGGCGUUAAGUUGCAGGGUAUAGACCCGAAACCCGGUGAUCUAGCCAUGGGCAGGUUGAAGGUUGGGUAACACUAACUGGAGGACCGAACCGACUAAUGUUGAAAAAUUAGCGGAUGACCUGUGGCUGGGGGUGAAAGGCCAAUCAAACCGGGAGAUAGCUGGUUCUCCCCGAAAGCUAUUUAGGUAGCGCCUCGUGAAUUCAUCUCCGGGGGUAGAGCACUGUUUCGGCUAGGGGGCCAUCCCGGCUUACCAACCCGAUGCAAACUGCGAAUACCGGAGAAUGUUAUCACGGGAGACACACGGCGGGUGCUAACGUCCGUCGUGAAGAGGGAAACAACCCAGACCGCCAGCUAAGGUCCCAAAGUCAUGGUUAAGUGGGAAACGAUGUGGGAAGGCCCAGACAGCCAGGAUGUUGGCUUAGAAGCAGCCAUCAUUUAAAGAAAGCGUAAUAGCUCACUGGUCGAGUCGGCCUGCGCGGAAGAUGUAACGGGGCUAAACCAUGCACCGAAGCUGCGGCAGCGACGCUUAUGCGUUGUUGGGUAGGGGAGCGUUCUGUAAGCCUGCGAAGGUGGCCUGUGAGGGUUGCUGGAGGUAUCAGAAGUGCGAAUGCUGACAUAAGUAACGAUAAAGCGGGUGAAAAGCCCGCUCGCCGGAAGACCAAGGGUUCCUGUCCAACGUUAAUCGGGGCAGGGUGAGUCGACCCCUAAGGCGAGGCCGAAAGGCGUAGUCGAUGGGAAACGGGUUAAUAUUCCCGUACUUGGUGUUACUGCGAAGGGGGGACGGAGAAGGCUAUGUUGGCCGGGCGACGGUUGUCCCGGUUUAAGCGUGUAGGUGUGUGUUCCAGGUAAAUCCGGUUCACUUUAACACUGAGGCGUGACGACGAGGCACUACGGUGCUGAAGCAACAAAUGCCCUGCUUCCAGGAAAAGCCUCUAAGCAUCAGGUAACAUCAAAUCGUACCCCAAACCGACACAGGUGGUCAGGUAGAGAAUACCAAGGCGCUUGAGAGAACUCGGGUGAAGGAACUAGGCAAAAUGGUGCCGUAACUUCGGGAGAAGGCACGCUGACACGUAGGUGAAGUGAUUUACUCACGGAGCUGAAGUCAGUCGAAGAUACCAGCUGGCUGCAACUGUUUAUUAAAAACACAGCACUGUGCAAACACGAAAGUGGACGUAUACGGUGUGACGCCUGCCCGGUGCCGGAAGGUUAAUUGAUGGGGUCAGCGCAAGCGAAGCUCCUGAUCGAAGCCCCGGUAAACGGCGGCCGUAACUAUAACGGUCCUAAGGUAGCGAAAUUCCUUGUCGGGUAAGUUCCGACCUGCACGAAUGGCGUAAUGAUGGCCAGGCUGUCUCCACCCGAGACUCAGUGAAAUUGAACUCGCUGUGAAGAUGCAGUGUACCCGCGGCAAGACGGAAAGACCCCGUGAACCUUUACUAUAGCUUGACACUGAACAUUGAGCCUUGAUGUGUAGGAUAGGUGGGAGGCUUUGAAGUGUGGACGCCAGUCUGCAUGGAGCCGACCUUGAAAUACCACCCUUUAAUGUUUGAUGUUCUAACGUGGAUCCGUAAUCCGGGUUGCGGACAGUGUCUGGUGGGUAGUUUGACUGGGGCGGUCUCCUCCUAAAGAGUAACGGAGGAGCACGAAGGUUGGCUAAUCCUGGUCGGACAUCAGGAGGUUAGUGCAAUGGCAUAAGCCAGCUUGACUGCGAGCGUGACGGCGCGAGCAGGUGCGAAAGCAGGUCAUAGUGAUCCGGUGGUUCUGAAUGGAAGGGCCAUCGCUCAACGGAUAAAAGGUACUCCGGGGAUAACAGGCUGAUACCGCCCAAGAGUUCAUAUCGACGGCGGUGUUUGGCACCUCGAUGUCGGCUCAUCACAUCCUGGGGCUGAAGUAGGUCCCAAGGGUAUGGCUGUUCGCCAUUUAAAGUGGUACGCGAGCUGGGUUUAGAACGUCGUGAGACAGUUCGGUCCCUAUCUGCCGUGGGCGCUGGAGAACUGAGGGGGGCUGCUCCUAGUACGAGAGGACCGGAGUGGACGCAUCACUGGUGUUCGGGUUGUCAUGCCAAUGGCACUGCCCGGUAGCUAAAUGCGGAAGAGAUAAGUGCUGAAAGCAUCUAAGCACGAAACUUGCCCCGAGAUGAGUUCUCCCUGAGACUUAAAGUCUCCUGAAGGAACGUUGAAGACGACGACGUUGAUAGGCCGGGUGUGUAAGCGCAGCGAUGCGUUGAGCUAACCGGUACUAAUGAACCGUGAGGCUUAACCUU